rnacentral:rRNA from 1 species
AUGCAGAUACUUGAAACAAGGACACACCUAUUCUUCACAUGCCCUUUUGCAAAAUUAUGUUGGAACUACAUCUGCCCAACUUGGGCCCCUGCUGGACAAGGCAUUCAAGAAGAAAUUAAUCAACUGAAGCAAUUGCUAAAUCUGCCAUUCUCCCUGGAAAUCAUAAUUCUGGUGACUUGGGCAAUCUGGACCACCCGCAACGAUUACAUCUUCAAAUACAUUACGCCCAGCCUAUAUGCAUGCAGAAGAAAAUUCAAAGAGGAAAUCAAGUGGCUAACAUUCAGAGCAAAGCGGAAAGAAUACCAUUGAUUAGAAAACUGGGCGAAGGCUUUUGUUUGA